rnacentral:rRNA from 1 species
CAGCAGCCACGGUAAUCCGAAGGGUGCAAGCGUUAAUCGGAAUUACUGGGCGUAAAGCGUGCGCAGGCGGUUGUGUAAGACAGGUGUGAAAUCCCCGGGCUCAACCUGGGAACUGCAUUUGUGACUGGCAAGCUAGAGUGUGGCAGAGGGGGGUGGAAUUCCGCGUGUAGCAGUGAAAUGCGUAGAUAUGCGGAGGAACACCGAUGGCGAAGGCAGCCCCCUGGGCCAACACUGACGCUCAUGCACGAAAGCGUGGGGAGCAAACAGGAUUAGAUACCCCAGUAGUCCCUGUCUCUUAUAC